UACGUAGGGUGCGAGCGUUGUCCGGAAUUAUUGGGCGUAAAGAGCUCGUAGGCGGCUUGUCGCGUCGGAUGUGAAAGCCCGGGGCUUAACUCCGGGUCUGCAUUCGAUACGGGCAGGCUAGAGUUCGGUAGGGGAGAUCGGAAUUCCUGGUGUAGCGGUGAAAUGCGCAGAUAUCGGGAGGAACACCGGUGGCGAAGGCGGUUCUCUGGGCCUGUACUGACGCUGAGGAGCGAAAGCGUGGGGAGCGAACAGG
rnacentral:rRNA from 1 species